rnacentral:lncRNA from 1 species
UUACUAGGUACUGACGAAUCGUUAAUAUAAAACAAAUUUCACUGCAGUCAUUCACGCCAAAACCCACAAAACAUUUUAUUUUUAAUCUGUACGUUUCAGGGUAAUAUGAGGCAUAUUACAAGCGUCAUUUUCAACAGUUCUAACUAACAGAUAUUCUGCACGAAUCCAGUCUGUCAUCUAGUGGUCUCUCGGAGAUCUGUUUUAUUCGGUUUUAUUCCUUCUGCAGAGUAAACCAAGAACUGAACAUGUUUUUUCUAAACGUUAUCACAAGAGGGCGCCACAGUCCAAGCCGGUGAUAGCCACUCAGAAAUAAGCGCAACAGGUAGCCUACACAUGCCUGCAUUUUCCGACCGGUUAUAAUGUGUAAUUGUAGAACUGGCUUCAACCCACUCAUCAGGGACAAGAGUCAUUUCACAAAUGAAAAAUGUCUUGUAGAUCUGAACAUGCACACCUGAUUCACUAGUGAAGGGCUUGAUCAAUCAAGCCGAUAUGUCAUAUCAGGCUUGCUAGCGCUAGAAUAGAUUUAAUAAAAACAUAGAAUGGCUGAUGGUCCCUGAAGUGAAGGUUGAUUGAAUACCUCUGGUUUACCAGUACAGUGUCUUGCAGUGUUUAGCUUAGUUGGAUAAACCGUUUAGUUUGUUGUCUAAAAUACAAAUACAUUGACUGAAAACUGAAUUGAAACGAGACAUUCAUCUUACCAUUUUUAUAGCCACUUCUGUCUCAAUGCAAGGCGUUCAGUCUUUCGUCAAGCUAAAAACACAUUCGGCGAAAAUGCACACAUGACACAGGGUCAGUAUCACUGCUCCCAUACCACCUCUAGAGUAAGUGGGCUGGUCUAGACCGAUUUUUGAAACAUGCCCCAACAUAUCUCCCGAGUCCCCCAAAAGGUGGAUAUCGCCCGCCUGCAGGGCUUCCUAGCGAUGUAUCGUUCGCGAACGAAUUACUCUUAUAUCGAACGUCUCUUUAUGGAGCCGAGGAGCCCGCUCCCAGAAAAGACUCGGAACGCCCAUCAAAAGUGCCUCCAGCUCUGUCAGGUUACAUUCAUUAUACAGGCUAUGUAGGCAAGCGUAAGCUACCUGGCUGUCACUUUCAAGCAAACAGCUUCGCUCCCAAAAAUGCGAAUAGAUAGAUAUAUACGGUGAGAUAAGAACACAAUUCACUUUGUUCAUAUCUGAGAAUUGUAGAAUAUAGGCUACACUGGACAGUGUUCUAUGUAGGUUUGGAAUUAAGUAGCAUGACCUCAAUCGCUACAGUAUUUUAUUCUAUUAAAGACCGCAAUUCUGGACAUCUGAAAUGACAUGUUCACAUAUUCUGUUCCAUUUGACCCCACAUUAAUUUAUCAUAAAGCAUGGUCAGUGUUUACAGUCAUGGCAUGUACUGUAAACCGUCUGAGAUUGAGUUUGAACAACAGGUGUUUUUAUCUGGGGUUAUUCAUUUUAGAAAACCCUGUUCUAAGCAAGAUAAAACUGUGUGGAGAUCAUAUUUAAUUGAUGAGGGAAUGUCAGUCCA